GAGUUUGAUCAUGGCUCAGGAUGAACGCUAGCGGCAGGCCUAAUACAUGCAAGUCGAACGCUCAGUAGCAAUACUGGGAGUGGCGCACGGGUGCGUAACGCGUACACAAUCUACCUCUAAGCGGGGGACACCUCCUGGAAACGGGGAUUAAUACCGCAUAAUAUGCCGAGGUCGCAUGACUUUGGUAUUAAAGCAGCAAUACACUUAGAGAUGAGUGUGCGUCCCAUUAGGUAGUUGGUGAGGUAACGGCUCACCAAGCCUAUGAUGGGUAGCCGGUCUGAGAGGAUGGUCGGCCACACGGGCACUGAGACACGGGCCCGACUCCUACGGGAGGCAGCAGUAAGGAAUAUUGGUCAAUGGUGGAAACACUGAACCAGCCAUGCCGCGUGGAGGAAUAAGGUCCUACGGAUUGUAAACUCCUUUUGACGAGGAAGAAAGUGUUAGAUUUAUCUAAUUUUGACGGUACUCGUAGAAUAAGCACCGGCUAACUCCGUG
rnacentral:rRNA from 1 species